GGCGCAGCAGGCGCGAAAACUUUACAAUGCGGGAAACCGUGAUAAGGGGACACCGAGUGCCAGCAUCAUAUGCUGGCUGUCCAGGUGUGUAAAAUACACCUGUCAGCAAGGGCCGGGCAAGACCGGUGCCAGCCGCCGCGGUAACACCGGCGGCCCGAGUGGUGAUCGUGAUUAUUGGGUCUAAAGGGUCCGUAGCCGGUUUGGUCAGUCCUCCGGGAAAUCUGACGGCUCAACCGUUAGGCUUUCGGGGGAUACUGCCAGGCUUGGAACCGGGAGAGGUAAGAGGUACUACAGGGGUAGGAGUGAAAUCUUGUAAUCCCUGUGAGACCACCUGUGGCGAAGGCGUCUUACCAGAACGGGUUCGACGGUGAGGGGCGAAAGCUGGGGGCACGAACCGGAUUAGAUACCCGGGUAGUCCCAGCCGUAAACGAUGCUCGCUAGGUGUCAGGCAUGGCGCGACCGUGUCUGGUGCCGCAGGGAAGCCGUGAAGCGAGCCACCUGGGAAGUACGGCCGCAAGGCUGAAACUUAAAGGAAUUGGCGGGGGAGCAC
rnacentral:rRNA from 1 species